CAGCCGCCACGGGAAUACGAAGGGUGCAAGCGUUAAUCGGAAUUACUGGGCGUAAAGCGUGCGUAGGCGGUGAGUUAAGUCCGUUGUGAAAGCCCUGGGCUCAACCUGGGAAUUGCAGUGGAUACUGGGUCACUAGAGUGUGGUAGAGGAUAGUGGAAUUUCCGGUGUAGCAGUGAAAUGCGUAGAGAUCGGAAGGAACAUCUGUGGCGAAGGCGACUAUCUGGGCCAACACUGACACUGAGGCACGAAAGCGUGGGGAGCAAACAGGAUUAGAUACCCCAGUAGUCCCUGUCUCUUAUAA
rnacentral:rRNA from 1 species